GUGUGUUUGUGUGUGUGUGUGUAUGCGUGUGUGUCUCCUGAGAAUAUUCAUGAUUCAUUACUUAGGAAAAAAAUUGGCACAGAAGUUUUGAAGACAAAUUCUUGCAAUUCAUCUUUUUAAUUUUCAUGUGGAAGUUCUGAGCAAUGCACCUAAAACAUCAAAAUAAUGAAUUUAAUUGAUUUUUUUCUGCGAGUGCCUAAAUCAAAAGUCAAAAUUUGUUUUCAAUGAUUUUAUAUUGGCAAGAAAUAAGUAGCUGCUGGCCUGAAAUUGUAAAGGUCAGGUUUCACCUCAAGGUAAUAAAAAUAAGCCAAGUUGUAAAAUCUUCAAAAUCAGACUUUGUAGAAAGGCUGAUAAAUCCCUCAGUAUAGUUACAUGAUUGGAGGUUCUUUGAUACAUAUCAGUGAAGCAUUAUUGAUUAGGAUAUGACACACUCCAAGUAGUAAAAUGAAGAGCCUGCCCUGCUGUUUUCAGUUAGUGUGUCAGUCCCAAAGGCAUGUCAGACAGACAGUGUUCUAAGAGUGGCUGGUCAUCCACUUUGCAGGAGCCACAUGAACAGCUUGUGGUCUACAUGCCUCACUUCUGAACCUCCAGCCAGACCAUUGCUAUGUGCCUUUUCAGAGCUGAGGCAGCAGCGGUUUGCAGCUGUGUUUCCAAAUCAUCGGUGGUUGAGGGAAGAGGCUGGAUUUGAGGAGGGGAGGGGGGGAAGGUGUUGUGCGUGCAAUUAAAUAUUUCCCAUACUUUAUGAAAAGACUCAGCUCUUACAAAGAGGAAAUAGGUGUGUUUUCCAGUCUCCUCACUUUUGAAUUUAAAAGCAAAGGAAUGUGACUUCUUGAACAAUGGAAGAACCAAUAACUAGACAUCAAGCCAUUCAGCGUGGAAUUAAUUCUGUUAGCUUUUUUGACUGCUACUGCACAUUGAGUGGACGUUUUCAAAGAACUAUCUACAAUGACUCCAGCAUCUUUUUGCUCAGCAAUAACAGCAAAUUGAGACACCAUCAUUUUUACAGUACCUGAUUUCAUAAACACAUGCUGUCCUUGGAGGUCUAUCACCUGAUGCCAUUAAUUAAACUUCUGUGAAAAUUUCUCUCUCCUGCAAGUUGACUGGAGAAGAAAAAGCUCCAACUCCAACAGAAUGACUGGUGCUUUGUUAGAGAAGAACUGCUGUAUGAUGUAAUCUGUUUCCUUCAGUUUCUGCUCUAACCCACUCUGUGCCUGGUCCCAUUUGUUAAGAUUUCAAGAGGAUUUGAGGGAAUGAGAUCAAAAGUAAGAAGGAGUCACAUCAUGUGUAGCAGCCUGAAGAACUUGGCAAAGAGCUUGUACCUAAUUGAGAUGCUUUGCUCGCUGAAGUGCCCUGGCCUUUUGCCCAAUCAUUGGGCUCCUUGGAGCAAUCAAUAAGGUCAUUAGUGUGCAGGUUUAAUACCAAGUGACCUUGGACUGCCUCUUUUCCUGGGUGUAAAAAAAUCACCUGGGCAUAGCAGCAUGGGAAAGUGACACUUUAAUCCUGCUGUUUUUCAUUCCUUUGCCUUUGGUCUAUGUCAUGCACUUUCACAGACGACUGAGUGACCUGUAAAUGGAGAUUAAAUAAUUUCUUUAACAAAUUUAUUGGCCGGUUGGGCUUACUGUUUGCCACAUUGUAAGUAAGGGUGUUGCUGACUUCAGAAAUACUGAAGUCUGACUUCAACUAAUUUUUUCACUGGGACUGAGAGUUGGUCCUGUAAAAAAGGAGUCAAAUGUAAAAUUCAUAGACUUGCGAGUACCUUGAAAUAAAUCUCAUCUGUCCGUGAUUUUUGAUCACAUCCUCUUUGAUUUCUCCCUAUUUCUGCUAGUAUACUCUGCCAGUAUACUCCUCCAUACAUCUCAAAGCACUACACAAAGCACAGACUAAGUACAGACUUACAGAGCUUACUAGCAUAGACAAAAUAUAGAGUAACUUUGUGCAAUUAUUAACAUUUCAUCCAGUAUUGAUAGAAAGUGGCAUCAUUU